rnacentral:lncRNA from 1 species
AUGUACGAGUGUUGGCCAUUACCUCAAAUAGGCGGCUGGGACAAUACCCUGCCAUUGAGGGAGAACCUUUCCGGCAUGGUUUCAAGGAGGAUGAGAGGACAGAAGAAAGAUAGAGAGAGAUGCACAAGUUCCAUCAGUAAUUGGAGUCUGGGCUGGAACUCCAAGUACCAAGAACACGGGCAAGGCCUUCACUCCUCCGUGUAUCCCAUCAGCACUGACCUACAAACUGCCGCCUUUCCCUCCCUGGACGCCAGCCAGAGUUCACCUGCUUCACUUCAUUCCCACUCACCCCCCUUCAUGUGCUCGAGGAUCUGUGACUUAUCAGAGGCGGUUUAAGAAAGGCAGAGGAAUGCAGUGGGACCCGCUUCAUCCAAAGAAUCCACGGAAAGGACUUUUUUAUAUAGACCACUUCUAUCCUACUUCUAUCAGUGACUACCUGGGACCCGCUCUCCUUUCUUUGGAUCACCAGGUUCAGGCACGUGCACAGGUAGGGCUCAACCUUUGCAGAGCACAUGCCCUUUUUGCCCUUACACUCCGCAGUGCCCUUUUUUUGGUGGUGUGUUUUUUUUUUUUUUUUUUUUUUUUUUUCUCAAUGCUAUUGGUCACCAUUUACGUCUGUAUGUCUGUUUUACAAAUAUUUAGCAAAUGAAAGUUCUUAAAACGAGCUUGUGUAAAUCUAAUUCGAUUCUCAAGCUGUCAGUAAGCUGAUAACUCCGCCCCCUCUAUAUUCAUUGAAUCAACUGAAGUUCCACAGCAGCCGCACAGUAGACAACAGCUGAGCUGAACAGUUUUGCGAAGGGUAAAUAAAUAUCUUGUUUUUUGAAUAAGUACUACUAAACACUAUGUCUAUAAAGGCUCAUAUUUUAUUUAUUGGAUGUCUGUCUGACUGGCUGAGACAUGUGGGACGCAUAGACAGUAAAAGGUGGGACGUCGCCUGAGAGAGAGGGCUAGCAUUUGCCAUCUAGUCAUAGCCAAUACAUAGCCAACACUUAAAUAGCCUGGGCAUAUAGUAGCAUUUCAUCUUUUAUAAAAUGCGAUUUUGGCCAAAUGCAUUUUACCACAGGAAAAACUGAGCGCUCCGUCUAUAUAGCUAAAAAAACUAGUUUGUAACCUGUAGAUGAAAAUGUAAUGUGAUCCCCGUUUUAAUGACGGACAAAAAAAAUAAAUAACAUUUACACGCAUUCGCUGGUCAAAAACGAUAUAUUGAUAACAACAACAUAUAAUUUGUUUUUACCAUCGGAAAAUCAUAACAAGUUUCGUACUGGAAUUUACACAAAGCAGCGAGUGAUCCUCGUCACCUAGAUAACUAUAUUUCUAAGAAAUUUCUUCUUUGAUUUAUGAUUGCUGAUACACUUAAUUUUUUUAACAUUUAGGAUAAUCAUGUUAUGGUAUACUCUCCGUAUACUCUCUGUAUAAAAAGUAGUAAAACAUGGUUUUACUACAGUAAUGUAGUAGUAACUAAAAAAAAUUACAGAAGAUCACUGUGAAAUCUUUAUAUUUUAUCAUGCAGAAUGUAAUUCAUGAUUCAUUCCAAGGCUUCGUUUAUUUGAUCCAAAAUACAGCAAAAACAGUAAUAUAGUGUAAUAGUUUUACAAUUUUAAAUAACUGUUUUCUAUUUGAAUAUUUUUUAAAAUGUAAUUUAUUUUUGUGAUCAAAGCUGAAUUUUCAGCAUCAUUACUGCAGUUAGUACUCUUCAGUGUCACGUGAUCCUUCAGAAAUGCUUUUCACUGCAACUGUACUUUUCACACUAUUUUUAUUUAUUUUUUCAUUGCUGGCUUAUUUUAGGGAAAGUGUAGUGAAUAGGAGACCUUCAAGAAACCAACAUCCCUGGUCCAUCACAGUAUCAAAUUUUUGCCAGGUAGGCGGAAACAUGUUGGAUAUGUUAUAGUAACGGUAUGGCUAUAGUUUCUUAUAAUCUGGAAUUGAGUUGUACCGUAGUGUUGGACAUAAUUACUUAAAUUAUAUUUCAAAAAAGUUAGUCAAAAAUACUUGACUCAUUGCUCACCUUCCCCUCUUCUUAAUGUCAUUCAUAAAAAUGUUAACCAAAUAAUACAAAUUAGCUUAUGAAACCAAACAGAAUAGCUAAAAAAGAGAAUAUAUAUAAUUGAUAUAAAAAAAGGGAGGGGGUGCCCUUUUUCAGUUUCAGCACAUGCCCCUUAAAAGGUCUGUGCACGGCCCUGACCAGGUUUACUGGCAUGCAAACAGCGAGACCAUUUUCAAUGAUUCUGAUUGGCUCUAGUAAGCCUGUGUCAAGGAAUAUCCCUGCAUGGAGAAUGGAUGCUGGAGGAUUUGCUGCUCAACAAAUCCUGAGCUCACUGACAAGUAUGUUAUCUGGUACAAUUAGCUCCCUAUACAGAGUGUGCCUGAUCGCGAACUCAAAAGUGAAUAGUGUAUGCUCAUUCUGAAGUGAUUUCAGUAUGCAUAUUGCAUCAUUUCAGAAGUGAGGGGUACAGAAACGUAAAAAAAAAAAUUAUAAUAAUAAGUGCACAAGACCAUAGGCAGUUCAAUUCAUCAUUUUAGUUUGCGCCGCUAUGCACCAUCGAUGCGCCCUUCUGGCAAGCCCGCACUUAAGGGGAGCUCUGCAGCAGAUUUUUACAAUACAAUCAAAGUUCUAUUACAUCUCAAAAGUGUGGACUGAGAAGAAGACCGCAAAGGUUUAGGGUGUGAUUAGUGACAUGAGAGUGUUUAGAACUCCAUAAUGUACACAUCGCCUCAUUUUGGAAAUGCUGGGUCAUACUUAGAUAUCUUGCAUCUUUGCAUUUAGAUCUAGAUUUAUUCACACCGGCCCUUGUACCUCUACAUGAACACAGUUAAAUGUUUCCGGGAACUGACAGGACUGUGUCAAAAGCCAAAUGGACCAGAAUUUGCAUGCUUUUCACCACUGCAUUAAUAUUAAAACACAGUUUACAUAAUCUUAAAACUUGCCUAAAUCUAAAUUAACACUAUUGGAGAACAUAGACAGAAUCUUUACACACAUAUGCAUAAAUGUGUAAUUUUAGAACUAUAUAUAUAUAUAUAGUAUUGAAUAGCAAGAUAUAGUUUGGUCUUCAAUAAUUGAUCUUCAAUAUCACACGUGUUGAUUCAUUAUAAUGACAAUACCUCUAAAUCUCUGCAAAAUAUUACAAAUAAUGUGUCCCAGUAACCAGAGAUGAUAUUUAUCUUCCUUUAACAUGCCUAAAACUGUUAAACCAUAAACAUGUUUUGAAAAUUCUGCUACAACGUCAAACCAAUCAGACAGUGAAUCCUGCGUUAUUUCCGUCAAGCGUUGCUUAAUUUUCUCCCAGCAUUUCUAAGUCAGUCAGUAAUUGAGUGCAUUGCAGUGCACAAAUAAGCCCUUUCUUCAUUUACAGACUCUGCUGCUUAUUUCCCCUCUCCUCGUCCUCAGCAGCAUCUGAGGGUGAUAAAUUAUUUACACAGAGUAUGGAUCUACAAGCACUCAAUCCACUGCAGUCACUCAGCCAUAUUGCCCCAGGGAGAAGAGUGUGGCCAGGCAUUUUACGAAAGAGCAAGCAAGCGUGGCGAUAAUGCACCGGCCCGAUAAAGGUCAGCAGCCCCCCUCUGGGUCUCCUGUGAUAUUUUUAUUAUUGAAGGGAAGAGGCUGCUGUACACCAGCAUUCACUGCACCGUGCUAAGACUGAAAGAUGGAGGGAACUGUGAAAUGAGAGAACAAGAGAAAAACAGAUAAGUAUGGAAAGUGACUCAAUAUUAUCUAGUAUAUUAUAUUCAAGCUUAAACUAAGAAAAAAAAAAAAAUCCUAAUUAAAAUGUCCAAACAUUCCACUGAGCAACAAGAUUAACUCCAAAAAUAUUAUACCAGAAGCUCUCUGAGGUCAUUUUCAGUACUGUCAGUAAAUGAAUGCAGCCAAUCAGAGUAUUUUAAAAAAGUAGUGUAGAAAUUGUCAAGUAACCUUAAAAAAAGUUUGCUUAAUUAUAUUAAAUGUGCACACAUAGUAAAAAACCUACUUGCAGAUAAUAUAAUAAUAAAAAAAAUUAUUAUUAUUUAAACUAUUAUUAAUAUUAUAUGAAAA